UACAGAGGGUGCAAGCGUUGUUCGGAAUUAUUGGGCGUAAAGCGCGUGUAGGCGGCUUGGCAAGUCGGGUGUGAAAGCCCUCAGCUCAACUGAGGAAGUGCGCCCGAAACUGCUUUGCUUGAGUGCUGGAGAGGGUCGCGGAAUUCCCCCAAGUAGAGGUGAAAAUUCGUAGAUAUGGGGAGGAACACCGGUGGCGAAGGCGGCGACCUGGACAGUAACUGACGCUGAGACGCGAAAGCGUGGGUAGCAAACAGG
rnacentral:rRNA from 1 species